AUUGAACGCUGGCGGCAGGCCUAACACAUGCAAGUCGAACGAGUGGCGGACGGGUGAGUAAUGUCUGUGAAACUGCACGAUGGAGGGGGAUAACUACUGGAAACGGUAGCUAAUACCGCAUACCAUCGGAUGUGCCCAGAUGGGAUUAGCUUGUAGGUGAGGUAACGGCUCAACUAGGCGACGAUCCCUAGCGGGUCUGAGAGGAUGACCAGCCACACGUGAACUGAGACACGGUCCAUACUCCUACGGGAGGCAGCAGUGGGGACUAUUGCACAAUGGGCGCAAGCCUGAUGCAGCCAUUCCGCGUGUAUGGAGAAGGCCUUCGGUUUGUAAAGUACUUUCAGCGGGGAGGCGUUACUCGCAGAAGAGGCACCGGCUAACUCCGUGCCAGCCGCCGCGGUAAUAC
rnacentral:rRNA from 1 species